CUAACAAAGCCUUUCUGGGUAAACACCAUGCCAGUGCCUUUACAGCGCUUACACAUUUCAGGUUUUACCCCAGGAGGAAUACCUUCUCCAUAACAAGCUUCACAAACUGUAUCAGCUUGAAAUGUGAUAGUUNUCAGCUUGAAAUGUGAUAGUUUUGGUGCAUCCCUGAACAGCUUCCAUGAAGGAUAGCUCAACAGCAACCUUGACAUCUUGGCCGCCAAGCUUCUGCUUAAAUAUGUUGCCGAAUAUGUCAUCCAUUCUGAAGAAGCUAUCAAAUGGAUUAUCGAAUCCUGGUCCACCAGGAUGAAAAUCUCCAUUGAGAUUACGUUCAUAUGCAUCAUGGCCAACCUCAUCAUAUUGUGCACGCUUUUCGUCAUCUUUCAAAACCUCAUAAGCCUUCGAAACUUCUUGAAACUUCUUUUCAGCUUCA
rnacentral:misc_RNA from 1 species